rnacentral:rRNA from 1 species
UACGUAGGGGGCAAGCGUUGUCCGGAUUUAUUGGGCGUAAAGAGCGUGUAGGCGGCUUUGCAAGUCCGUUGUGAAAACUCGAGGCUCAACCUCGAGACGCCGGUGGAAACUGCAAAGCUAGAGUCCGGAAGAGGAGAGUGGAAUUCCUGGUGUAGCGGUGAAAUGCGCAGAUAUCAGGAAGAACACCCGUGGCGAAGGCGGGUCUCUGGGCCGAUACUGACGCUGAGGAGCGAAAGCGUGGGGAGCGAACAGG